rnacentral:tRNA from 1 species
UGCGGGAUCGUCUAAUGGCAGGACACAGGGUUUUGGUCCCUGGUAUCUAGGUUCGAAUCCUAGUCCCGCAGCCA